rnacentral:misc_RNA from 1 species
UAGCGUUACCACGUGACUUCUGUGUUUAUUGUCGGCAGUUACAUCAACGGCGGCGGUUCGUGUAGUUAGGUUCCUUCUUCUAUAAUACUUUUCUUGCCUUUUGUUUUUAAAACAUCCUAUCCCUUUCUCUAACUGCUUGUAGAAGACUUGUGUGAUUAUGUCAUAAUGUGUACGUUUCAUCAUCGAGGGAUUUCGUGUUAUCACUAGCGAAAGCGACUUGGUAACACUAGUGACCUACUUUCGAGAAAGCUCGCCGUUUUAACCCACUUUUCUGCGCCUGCUCACUGCGUCUGAAAGUGAAGUUUUUUCAGGGCUGGCUUUACCUACCCUAAAACGCUACGGAAGGAAGAACGCUAAGCCUUGUCCUUGAUCUCCACCGGCUAUUCUGACCUGUGGUUCACAAAGUUGCGAAAAUAAAGAAACGCAAAGAUAUUUUGUUGUGUGAAGGUUGACCGCUACGAUUAUUGAUGUUAACGAUUUCUGAUGUAUCUUAUGGAUGAUCGUAAUUGCUUCCGCGAGCAAUAAUUGCUGCCGGGUGGUGUUUUGUUAUAGAAAGUGAAUCGUGAUCGGCCCAGGCGUGGAACGGGAAGUGAUGUUAGUUGACGGUGGACCCAAUGUAUCGUCCGCCAGCGAUAUGAACAGCGACUCGACCACCACCACGGUGGCGGCCGUGACACAAGGGCAAGAUGACCAUUCCCUUGAAAUUACAGGGCCCUCCAACAUGCUCUCUGUGGUGCCCUCGCAAGUGGGGUCCCCGCAACAACAGUCCAGUGGCCCCCUGGUUGAGUAUUCACAUGACCUGCCGGACACCAAGGAGGGUAUUGAGGAACUGUGCCCUGUUUGUGGGGACAAAGUGUCCGGAUACCACUAUGGUCUGCUCACGUGCGAGUCUUGCAAAGGAUUUUUCAAGAGAACGGUACAGAAUAAAAAAGUUUACACCUGCGUGGCCGACCGCAGUUGUCACAUUGAUAAAAGUCAAAGGAAAAGAUGUCCCUUCUGCCGAUUUCAAAAAUGUCUGGACGUUGGAAUGAAACUUGAAGCUGUACGAGCAGAUCGAAUGAGAGGAGGUAGGAACAAAUUCGGACCUAUGUACAAACGUGACAGAGCACGAAAGCUACAAAUGAUGAGACAAAAACAAAUCCAGAGAGCCCAGUGUCUCGGUAUCAUGACCAACAACGAGGUCACCCCAGCCUUGCCUCCACCAUUCGCACCCCCAGCAAUGCCAUCACCAUCAGUCUACGACCCCCAUCACAUCAAACAAGAACUCAUCCAAAUACCCCAACUGAGCUCAUCCACCAGCUCACCGGACUCAUCUCCCUCUCCCCUCUGUACCUCAGCUCAGACCAACUCAACGAUGGCGGCUCAUUUUGCCCUGGCCGGUGGACCACCAGUCCUGUCUACCGUGCCAGAGCCAAUGAAAUCAUGGCCUUCAUCCACCAGGGCACCAUCACCACCCCAUCCGACUGGGUCGAAUGGUGGUGCAUCCUCUGGUUCACCCAAACCACCUUAUCACUACGGAGACGUGAGUCCUGUACCACUUACAGUAAGAAGUCCAUCACCUAUUCUUAUCGGAAGUGGUAAGAUCCCUCACCUAAUCAAAGAUUUUCAGACGUCCAUGCCUGACGACAAAGAUUGGCAGUCUCAACUCUUUGGUCUUCUUCAAAAUCAAACAUACAACCAGUGUGAGGUGGAUCUUUUUGAACUUAUGUGUAAAGUUAUUGACCAAUCACUUUUUGCGCAAGUUGAUUGGGCCCGCAAUAGUGUCUUCUUCAAGGAACUGAAGGUGGAUGAUCAAAUGAAACUGCUGCAGCACUCUUGGAGUGAUAUGUUGGUUUUAGAUCAUCUUCAUCAGAGGCUUCACAACGGCCUUCCUGAAGAGAUAACAAUGCCCAAUGGUCAAAAGUUCAGUAUGGUUAAUUUGGCUCUACUAGGGGUAGCUAGUAUGACAGACCAGUUAAAUCAUGUGUCAGCCCGGUUACAAGAACUCAAAUUUGAUCCCCUAGAUUAUAUAUGUCUCAAGUUUCUACUACUACUCAAUCCUGCAGAAGUAAGAACACUGGCGAAUGUCAAGUUGGUGAUUGAUGCAUAUGAACGAACACAACAAGCCCUGGUUGAAUAUACACUCAGCUGUUACCCACAAUUUCCAGAGUUCAAUAAUUCUUUGCGAUUUCGAUGAUACGCUAAGUUACAGAAGGAGAGAACGUUUCAAUUUUCCUACAUAAUUAAAUGGCUGGGAUGGAUUAGGAUAAAUUUAACAACUUAAUGUCAAUACUGCCAGAAAUCCAUGUGAUCAGUGAACGGGGGGAAGAUUUUCUACUCUACCGACAUCUAAACGGAAGUGCACCCUCACAGACUCUACUCAUGGAAAUGUUACAUGCGAAGAAAAAAUAGCAGG